rnacentral:piRNA from 1 species
GUGGACCUGGUGGGAGCCCUGGACUUC